rnacentral:rRNA from 1 species
UUCCGGUUGAUCCCGCCAGACCUGACUGCUAUCGGAUUGAUACUAAGCCAUGCGAGUCAUUGUAGCAAUACAAGGCAUACGGCUCAGUAACGCGUAGUCAACCUAACCUAUGGACGGGAAUAACCUCGGGAAACUGAGAAUAAUUCCCGAUAGAACAUUAUACCUGGAAUGGUUUAUGUUCCAAAUGAUUUAUCGCCGUAGGAUGGGACUGCGGCCUAUCAGUUUGUUGGUGAGGUAAUGGCCCACCAAGACUAUUACAGGUACGGGCUCUGAGAGGAGUAGCCCGGAGAUGGGUACUGAGACACGGACCCAGGCCCUAUGGGGCGCAGCAGGCGAGAAAACUUUGCAAUGUGCGAAAGCACGACAAGGUUAAUCCGAGUGAUUUGUGCUAAACGAAUCUUUUGUUAGUCCUAGAAACACUAACGAAUAAGGGGUGGGCAAGUUCUGGUGUCAGCCGCCGCGGUAAAACCAGCACCUCAAGUGGUCAGGAUGAUUAUUGGGCCUAAAGCAUCCGUAGCCGGCUCUGUAAGUUUUCGGUUAAAUCUGUACGCUCAACGUACAGGCUGCCGGGAAUACUGCAAAGCUAGGGAGUGGGAGAAGUAGACGGUACUCGGUAGGAAGUGGUAAAAUGCUUUGAUCUAUCGAUGACCACCUGUGGCGAAGGCGGUCUACUAGAACACGUCCGACGGUGAGGGAUGAAAGCUGGGGGAGCAAACCGGAUUAGAUACCCGGGUAGUCCCAGCUGUAAACUAUGCAAACUCAGUGAUGCAUUGGCUUGUGGCCAAUGCAGUGCUGCAGGGAAGCCGUUAAGUUUGCCGCCUGGGAAGUACGUACGCAAGUAUGAAACUUAAAGGAAUUGGCGGGGGAGCACCACAAGGGGUGAAGCCUGCGGUU